rnacentral:rRNA from 1 species
AUAUCAAUAAGCGGGGAAAAGAAACUAACAAGGAUUCCCCUAGUAACUGCGAGUGAAGCGGGAAAAGCUCAAAUUUAAAAUCUGGCGGUCUCCGGCCGUCCGAGUUGUAAUCUAGAGAAGUGUUAUCCGCGCUGGACCGUGUACAAGUCUCCUGGAAUGGAGCAUCAUAGAGGGUGAGAAUCCCGUCUUUGACACGGACUACCAGGGCUUUGUGAUGCGCUCUCAAAGAGUCGAGUUGUUUGGGAUUGCAGCUCAAAAUGGGUGGUAAAUUCCAUCUAAAGCUAAAUAUUGGCGAGAGACCGAUAGCGAACAAGUACCGUGAGGGAAAGAUGAAAAGAACUUUGGAAAGAGAGUUAAACAGUACGUGAAAUUGCUGAAAGGGAAACGCUUGAAGUCAGUCGCGUUGGCCGGGGAUCAACCUUGCUUUUGCUGGGCGUACUUUCCGGUCGACGGGUCAGCAUCAAUUUUGAUCGUUGGAUAAAGUCCAGGGGAAUGUGGCAUCUUCGGAUGUGUUAUAGCCCUUGGUCGCAUACAACGGUUGGGAUUGAGGAACUCAGCACGCCGCAAGGCCGGGUACUUGUACCACGUUCGUGCUUAGGAUGCUGGCAUAAUGGCUUUAAUCGACCCGUCUUGAAACACGGACCAAGGAGUCUAACAUGCCUGCGAGUGUUUGGGUGGAAAACUCGGACGCGUAAUGAAAGUGAAAGUUGAGAUCCCUGUCGUGGGGAGCAUCGACGCCCGGACCAGACCUUUUGUGACGGAUCCGCGGUAGAGCAUGUAUGUUGGGACCCGAAAGAUGGUGAACUAUGCCUGAAUAGGGUGAAGCCAGAGGAAACUCUGGUGGAGGCUCGUAGCGAUUCUGACGUGCAAAUCGAUCGUCAAAUUUGGGUAUAGGGGCGAAAGACUAAUCGAACCAUCUAGUAGCU